rnacentral:rRNA from 1 species
UACGUAGGGGGCAAGCGUUAUCCGGAAUUACUGGGUGUAAAGGGAGCGUAGACGGUGAUGUAAGUCUGGAGUGAAAGGCGGGGGCCCAACCCCCGGACUGCUCUGGAAACUAUGUGACUGGAGUGCAGGAGAGGUGAGCGGAAUUCCUAGUGUAGCGGUGAAAUGCGUAGAUAUUAGGAGGAACACCAGUGGCGAAGGCGGCUCACUGGACUGUAACUGACGUUGAGGCUCGAAAGCGUGGGGAGCAAACAGG